rfam:Epulopiscium sp. Nuni2H_MBin001 Nuni2HMBin001_88, whole genome shotgun sequence.
GGAGAAGUACUCAAGUUGGCCGAAGAGGUGCCCCUGCUAAGGGUAUAGGUCGGGUUAACCGGCGCGAGGGUUCGAAUCCCUCCUUCUCCG